GACGAACGCUGGCGGCGUGCUUAACACAUGCAAGUCGAACGCUGAAGACCUGGCUUUUGUUGGGUUGGGUGAGUGGCGAACGGGUGAGUAACACGUGAGUAACCUGCCCUCUUCUUUGGGAUAACGCCCGGAAACGGGUGCUAAUACUGGAUAUUCACUGAUCUUCGCAUGGGGGUUGGUGGAAAGGUUUGUUCUGGUGGGGGAUGGGCUCGCGGCCUAUCAGCUUGUUGGUGGGGUGAUGGCCUACCAAGGCUUUGACGGGUAGCAGGCCUGAGAGGGUGACCGGUCACAUUGGGACUGAGAUACGGCCCAGACUCCUACGGGAGGCAGCAGUGGGGAAUAGUGCACAAUGGGCGAAAGCCUGAUGCAGCGACGCCGCGUGAGGGAUGGAGGCCUUCGGGUUGUAAACCUCUUUCGCUCAUGGUCAAGCCGCAACUGUGGGUUGUGGUGAGGGUAGUGGGUAAAGAAGCGCCGGCUAACUACGUG
rnacentral:rRNA from 1 species